rnacentral:rRNA from 1 species
ACCUACGGGAGGCAGCAGUGGGGAUAUUGCACAAUGGGGGAAACCCUGAUGCAGCGACGCCGCGUGGGCGAAGAAGUAUUUCGGUAUGUAAAGCCCUAUCAGCAGGGAAGAAGAAAUGACGGUACCUGAGUAAGAAGCACCGGCUAAAUACGUGCCAGCAGCCGCGGUAAUACGUAUGGUGCAAGCGUUAUCCGGAUUUACUGGGUGUAAAGGGAGCGUAGACGGCGGCGCAAGUCCGGAGUGAAAGCCCACGGCCCAACCGUGGGACUGCUCUGGAAACUGUGCGGCUUGAGUGCGGGAGGGGG